rnacentral:rRNA from 1 species
CCCUUAGAUGUUCUGGGCCGCACGCGCGCUACACUGAUGCAUUCAACGAGCACCCGCUGGGCCGAGAGGUCCGGCUAAUCUUUGAACGUGCAUCGUGCUGGGGAUAGAUGAUUGCAAUUAUUCAUCUUCAACGAGGAAUUCCUAGUAAACGCAAGUCAUCAGCUUGCAUUGAUUACGUCCCUGCCCUUUGUACACACCGCCCGUCGCACCUACCGAUUGAAUGGUCCGGUGAAAUUCUCGGACGCGGACUUGCAAUGUUAAUUCGGCGCUUGUCUGUGAAAGUUAAUUAAACCUUACCAUUUAGAGGAAGGUGAAGUCGUAACA